CACUAAAUCUAGAAAAUUCCACCUUGGAGAACCUAAUAGGAGCUUGAUAAGUAGGAGGGUUUGUGUUGGUGUUACCUGCUGGGCUUCCACCUUGCAAUUUUUGCAUCACCUCGCUCUACUGCCACGAUAAUUGCAGCAUCAUGUCCUCCAUUAUGCUCAAAGCUCCUUCAAUGGUUUCAAUCCUCUGAAUUGUGUCCUUUGUGGACUGCC
rnacentral:lncRNA from 1 species